CAGUCGCCACGGGAAUACGUAGGGUGCGAGCGUUAAUCGGAAUUACUGGGCGUAAAGCGUGCGCAGGCGGUUGUGCAAGACAGAUGUGAAAUCCCCGAGCUUAACUUGGGAACUGCAUUUGUGACUGCACGGCUAGAGUGUGUCAGAGGGGGGUAGAAUUCCACGUGUAGCAGUGAAAUGCGUAGAUAUGUGGAGGAAUACCGAUGGCGAAGGCAGCCCCCUGGGAUAACACUGACGCUCAUGCACGAAAGCGUGGGGAGCAAACAGGAUUAGAUACCCCGGUAGUCCCUGUCUCUUAUAC
rnacentral:rRNA from 1 species